CAAUGGUGAAUGAAUUUCCUUGUCACUGUUUCUGCAUUUUGAAGAAAGUAAACUGUAUUCAUAUUUUUUCUCAGAAAUAUUAUGUUAAAUGUAUUAGUGUAUGUCCUUGAUAAACAAAAUGUAAAACUCAGAAGAAGAAUAAUGUUUAUGGUACAUAUAUUUCUUCAAAGUAAGAAAGAACUAUUCAUUUCAAUAAUGCCACAAUUGAAAAUUGAGCCAUAAACACCGAAACUUGGACCUAGGUAAAGGACGAAGCACUAGGUGAAAAGCCACCCUAGAGGUAAUGGACUAUGCAGUCUGAGUUCCUCCAAGGGGGGGGUCACACAAUCCCAAGGAUUGACUUAAUAUUUACAUACAGAACUCAAAGUGCUUGGAAUUGGGGA
rnacentral:lncRNA from 1 species